rnacentral:rRNA from 1 species
GAUGAACGCUGGCGGCGUGCUUAACACAUGCAAGUCGAGCGAAGCGCUUUGGAAAGAUUCUUCGGAUGAUUUCCUUUGCGACUGAGCGGCGGACGGGUGAGUAACGCGUGGGUAACCUGCCUCAUACAGGGGGAUAACAGUUAGAAAUGACUGCUAAUACCGCAUAAGACCACGGUACCGCAUGGUACAGUGGUAAAAACUCCGGUGGUAUGAGAUGGACCCGCGUCUGAUUAGGUAGUUGGUGGGGUAACGGCCUACCAAGCCGACGAUCAGUAGCCGACCUGAGAGGGUGACCGGCCACAUUGGGACUGAGACACGGCCCAGACUCCUACGGGAGGCAGCAGUGGGGAAUAUUGCACAAUGGAGGAAACUCUGAUGCAGCGACGCCGCGUGAAGGAUGAAGUAUUUCGGUAUGUAAACUUCUAUCAGCAGGGAAGAAAAUGACGGUACCUGACUAAGAAGCCCCGGCUAACUACGUGCCAGCAGCCGCGGUAAUACGUAGGGGGCAAGCGUUAUCCGGAUUUACUGGGUGUAAAGGGAGUGUAGACGGCACGGCAGGCCUGAUGUGAAAGCCCGGGGCUCAACCCCGGGACUGCAUUUGGAACUGCUGAGCUAGAGUGUCGGAGAGGCAAGUGGAAUUCCUAGUGUAGCGGUGAAAUGCGUAGAUAUUAAGAGGAACACCAGUGGCGAAGGCGGCUUGCUGGGCGAUGACUGACGUUGAGGCUCGAAAG